rfam:Lactobacillus pasteurii DSM 23907 = CRBIP 24.76, type strain:CRBIP 24.76, WGS project CAKD01000000 data, contig: 23
CCACAUCUGCAACCGCACAUAACGAGGUAAGAAGUUCUUUGAGGUAGAAGACACCUCGGUUGGCGAGUCUAAGUAUUUUU